rnacentral:lncRNA from 1 species
CGAUUCAUGGUUUUGAUGUUGUUAUACGUGAUUUGAGGCCCCGAGUAGGUUCGUGUUAUGUUAUGGGACUCGUUGGUAUAUUUGGACGAGGUCCCGAGGGGCUCGGGGUGAGUUUCAGACGUGGUUCAGAUCAUUUUGCCUCAUGCUGCAUCGCUGAAGUAAUAAUGGUGCUGGUGUUUCCCCAUCUGCAGAGGUUUGGACGCAGAUGCGGGCGUUUCAUCGCAAAAGCGGAAGUGGCAGGCUGGGCGUGAAAGUCGUAGGUGCGGGUGCAUGGUCGCAUCUGCGCGACCGCAGGUGUAGUUCUAUAUGCCUAGAAUCGCAACCGCAGAAGCGGAGAGAUGAUCGCAGAAGCAGAGGCUACUGAGUUUGGGCAUGUUCGCAGAAGCGAAGCCUAGGCCGCACAUGCGAGUUCGCAGAAGUUGGAAUUUGUUCGCAAAUGCGAAAAUAGGUGGGCAGAAGUUAUAAAUCGAGGGUUAGAGUGAUUUUAUCAUAUUCUGAGUUGGGGAGCUCAGAUUUGGGCGAUUUUAGAGGCGAUUUUCACCACAAGGAUUGGGGUAAGUGUUCUCUACUUGGUUUUGAGUAUAUUUCAUGAAUCUAUCUUCGUUUUUGGUAAUUGUAUUAUGAAUUUUAAAGAGAAAUUUGGGGGGUUUUGUCUAAAAUUUCAUAAAUUGAAUUUUUGAGUUUUGAAUAUUGAUUCAGAGUCGGCUUUGAGUGAAACUAGUAUGGUUGGACUAGUAAUUGAAUGAGUUAUCGGGUUUUGUGAGUUUUGUCAGGAUUUGAGGUGCGGGCUCGGGUUUGACUUUUUGGUUGACUUUGAGUAAAUGUAUAAAGAUUCGACCUUUAUCGAUUGAGUUUGAUUCUUAUGGCAUUAAUUGAUGAUUUUGAGUUGCUUUUGGCUAGUUUCGAGCCGCUCGGAGGAUGAUUUGAGCGGAUGGCGCUUCUAGUGUAUCGAUUUGGCUUGUUUGAGGUAAGUGUCUUGCCUAACUUUGUUGAGAAAAUUUUUCCUACUAAUUGCCAUUGUUUGCUACAUGCGGGGGUGAUGCAUAUAUGAGGUGACGAGCGUAUAUGCAUGUGCAAGGGUUAAUCAUGCUCGAGGGUAAAUUAUAUGAUUAAUUGUGCCUUGUAGAAUUAUGUGACUUUCUUGUUUCCUGUUUUACUUGACUUCUAGAUUACUAAGAAUAUGAAAUUAAAUGUUAGAAACCAAGAUUUAGCUUAUUACAACUUGAUUAAAUUUUGACGGAUUUUUGUGAAACCAUUGAUGUGUUUAAUUCGGUCAUCACUAUGUUUAAUCAUUAAUAUAUCGCUACGACCGUUAUUCUUGAGAUAUUGGAUUCUAUACUUGAGUUAAAGAUCAUUUUUUAGACUUGUCGAAAUACUUGAACAAUAAAGUACUUGAGGUUUAUUGAAUUGCUAUUGGCUUGAAAGAUGUGAUUGAUGUUCAAUUGGAAUAUUCACUUAAACACUCUCCUUGAUGUUAUUCAUGCUCCCUACCUUGCUUGUCAUUGAUAUACAUAUGCUUGGUGAGGAAGAUGUAAAGCAUGAAGGGUGAUGUCGUGCCAUUUUAUUUACAUUAUCAUGUGAGGAUAAAAGUAAAAGAACGAAGGGUGAUGUUGUGCCAUUUCACUUACAUUAUCAUGAUCUCAUUUACAUUAUCAUGUGAGGAUGAGAGUAAACGCACGAAGGGUGAUACCGUGCUGUNNNNNNNNNNNNNNNNNNNNNNNNCCGUGUAGGCGAGGACGAGGGACAUGUAUUAUGUUGUGAUAUCUUUUUCUUGUGUAUACGUUCAUGCCUUUACCUUCAGCUGUUACUGUUAUACCUAUGUUUUCAAUGUGACUUGUCGUUGUUGUUCUGUCUUUGUCUUCUAUCUCAAUUGUUGUUGUGUUGCCCAUGCCUUCUAUUUGUUUAACUUGCAAAUAUCAUAUUUUCCUUCUUGUUGUUAUAUCUACAUCCAUGCCGUUCCUCAUUUGUUGCACUUUCGUAUAAACUUUCGAUCAUGUUAGUUAUUCAUGCCUUCUAGUUGUUAGCUCAUAAAGAUCAUGCUUUCCCUCUUGUUUGUUAUAUCUACACCUAAGUCUUCUACUAUGCUAGUUAGUGAAAUUUAUAUUCUUCUUUCCUAAUUUAUGUCAUUAUUUCUAUGCCUUCUACCUAGUAUGUUACCGUUGUCCAUAUGUACUGCCUUGUUCGUUAUUGCUACAUGUGUAUUUUCCACUUUGUCAUUACUAUUAUUGGCAUUUCUUUCACCCGGUUGGUACUAUUAUAUGUGUAUUUGGUGAGGAUGAUAUUAAUGCACGAAGUGUGUUUGUGUGCCAUUGACUUGAUAUCUUGAGUACAUUUCUCACACUAUGAAAGUUAUGGAUUUACUAUCGUGGUUUAUUAGUUAUCGCUCUAAGGAAAGGAUUGGUCGAGAUAUUGGGAAAUAUUAAAUUGUGAUUUCUUCUAGUACUCAUUUACUGCUUCACAUAUUCGUUUCCUGUACUCUUUUCUGUUAUAUAAUAGUAUUGUUCUAUUGCUAGUUUACUGCACAAGUUAUAUCAGUGAGUAUCUUUUAACUAAAAAGCCUCAUUACUACUUCACCGAGGUUAGUCAAAAUACUUACUGAGUAUAUGGGGUCGGUUGUACUCAUACUACACUUCCGCACUUUGCGUUCAGAUCUUGGAGCAGAGCUGCGGUGGAUGACGGGAGCUGACUCUGAAGAUGUUCGUGCCUUCCGAGUGUGGCUACCACUUGUCCCUAGGUAGUUUUAAAAAUUGAAUUCUGUUUAUGUACAUUUCGA